UAGGGAAUCUUCGGCAAUGGGGGCAACCCUGACCGAGCAACGCCGCGUGAGUGAAGAAGGUUUUCGGAUCGUAAAGCUCUGUUGUAAGUCAAGAACGAGUGUGAGAGUGGAAAGUUCACGCUGUGACGGUAGCUUACCAGAAAGGGACGGCUAACUACGUGCCAGCAGCCGCGGUAAUACGUAGGUCCCGAGCGUUGUCCGGAUUUAUUGGGCGUAAAGCGAGCGCAGGCGGUUUGAUAAGUCUGAAGUUAAAGGCUGUGGCUCAACCAUAGUUCGCUUUGGAAACUGUCAAACUUGAGUGCAGAAGGGGAGAGUGGAAUUCCAUGUGUAGCGGUGAAAUGCGUAGAUAUAUGGAGGAACACCGGUGGCGAAAGCGGCUCUCUGGUCUGUAACUGACGCUGAGGCUCGAAAGCGUGGGGAGCGAACAGGAUUAGAUACCCUGGUAGUCCACGCCGUAAACGAUGAGUGCUAGGUGUUGGAUCCUUUCCGGGAUUCAGUGCCGUAGCUAACGCAUUAAGCACUCCGCCUGGGGAGUACGACCGCAAGGUUG
rnacentral:rRNA from 1 species